CGGUGCUAUACAUGCAGUCGAGCGGACAGAUGGGAGCUUGCUCCCUGAUGUUAGCGGCGGACGGGUGAGUAACACGUGGGUAACCUGCCUGUAAGACUGGGAUAACUCCGGGAAACCGGGGCUAAUACCGGAUGCUUGUUUGAACCGCAUGGUUCAAACAUAAAAGGUGGCUUCGGCUACCACUUACAGAUGGACCCGCGGCGCAUUAGCUAGUUGGUGAGGUAAUGGCUCACCAAGGCAACGAUGCGUAGCCGACCUGAGAGGGUGAUCGGCCACACUGGGACUGAGACACGGCCCAGACUCCUACGGGAGGCAGCAGUAGGGAAUCUUCCGCAAUGGACGAAAGUCUGACGGAGCAACGCCGCGUGAGUGAUGAAGGUUUUCGGAUCGUAAAGCUCUGUUGUUAGGGAAGAACAAGUACCGUUCGAAUAGGGCGGUACCUUGACGGUACCUAACCAGAAAGCCACGGCUAACUACGUGCCAGCAGCCGCGGUAAUACGUAGGUGGCAAGCGUUGUCCGGAAUUAUUGGGCGUAAAGGGCUCGCAGGCGGUUCCUUAAGUCUGAUGUGAAAGCCCCCGGCUCAACCGGGGAGGGUCAUUGGAAACUGGGGAACUUGAGUGCAGAAGAGGAGAGUGGAAUUCCACGUGUAGCGGUGAAAUGCGUAGAGAUGUGGAGGAACACCAGUGGCGAAAGGCGACUCUCUGGUCUGUAACUGACGCUGAGGAGCGAAAGCGUGGGGGAGCGAACAGGAUUAGAUACCCUGGUAGUCCACGCCGUAAACGAUGAGUGCUAAGUGUUAGGGGGUUUCCGCCCCCUUAGUGCUGCAGCUAACGCAUUAAUCACUCCGCCUGGGGAGUACGGUCGCGAGGACUGAUACUCAAANNAUUGACGGGGCCCCGCACAGCGUUGCANCAUGUGAUUUAAUCAAANCAACGCGACGAACAUAACAGGUCGUGGACAUCGUCUGANAAUCNAANAA
rnacentral:rRNA from 1 species